rnacentral:rRNA from 1 species
AGUGAACGCUGGCGGUAGGCCUAACACAUGCAAGUCGAACGGCAGCACAGUAAGAGCUUGCUCUUACGGGUGGCGAGUGGCGGACGGGUGGGGAAUACAUCGGAAUCUACUUUUUCGUGGGGGAUAACGUAGGGAAACUUACGCUAAUACCGCAUACGACCUACGGGUGAAAGCAGGGGAUCUUCGGACCUUGCGCGAUUGAAUGAGCCGAUGUCGGAUUAGUUAGUUGGCGGGGUAAAGGCCCACCAAGGCGACGAUCCGUAGCUGGUCUGAGAGGAUGAUCAGCCACACUGGAACUGAGACACGGUCCAGACUCCUACGGGAGGCAGCAGUGGGGAAUAUUGGACAAUGGGCGCAAGCCUGAUCCAGCCAUACCGCGUGGGUGAAGAAGGCCUUCGGGUUGUAAAGCCCUUUUGUUGGGAAAGAAAAGCAGCAGGUUAAUACCCCGCUGUUCUGACGGUACCCAAAGAAUAAGCACCGGCUAACUUCGUG